GACGAACGCUGGCGGCGUGCCUAAUACAUGCAAGUUGAGCGCUGAAGGUUGGUACUUGUACCAACUGGAUGAGCAGCGAACGGGUGAGUAACGCGUGGGGAAUCUGCCUUUGAGCGGGGGACAACAUUUGGAAACGAAUGCUAAUACCGCAUAAAAACUUUAAACACAAGUUUUAAGUUUGAAAGAUGCAAUUGCAUCACUCAAAGAUGAUCCCGCGUUGUAUUAGCUAGUUGGUGAGGUAAAGGCUCACCAAGGCGAUGAUACAUAGCCGACCUGAGAGGGUGGUCGGCCACAUUGGGACUGAGACACGGCCCAAACUCCUACGGGAGGCAGCAGUAGGGAAUCUUCGGCAAGGGACGAAAGUCUGACCGAGCAACGCCGCGGGAGUGAAGAAGGUUAUCGGAUCGUAAAACUCUGUUGGUAGAGAAGAACGUUGGUGAGAGUGGAAAGCUCAUCAAGUGACGGUAACUACACAGAAAGGGACGGCUAACUACGUG
rnacentral:rRNA from 1 species